UGUGCUAGCGCUUGCCCUGUUCACCUCUCCCGGUCGUUAAGGGGACCCCGCUACAGGUAGAGCCCUGGGGAUGCUUUCAGUCCUUGAGACUUGCGUUCGGAUGGUUAGGAAGGGGAUUCGCGGCAUUCAGAGAAGCUCGGAGACGAUGCAGGCCCGGAAGCGGAAGCCGAGGAUGGAGCGGGCCGGAGGUCCGGGCUGUGAGGACCUCUGAGUCCGAGCCCACGCCCACCUCCAUCCCUCGGACCCGCGCACUGUGGGAGUUGGGACUGGACGCUUGGUCUGCGUCCGGCGAGCUCGGAGCCUGACUCUGAGCACGAGCGGGCCCGGUACCCUCCAGGUGUGCUGCGCGGGACUGGCGGCACGGCGGGGUAGCCCCGGCAGCGUUUGUCGGGCGUGGAGGGCGAGUCAAGCGAACGGGAGUGCCCGGCCUAGGGUCGGGAGUCGAGGGUCCACUCGGAGUGUAGAGAAGAGCACGUGAGGAACAUUCGUGGGGUCGGAGACAGGAAGCCACUGGUGAUCAAGGUGAUGGCUGGAGCGCUGCAGGGAGCCGUUCAGGACACAGGCGGCCUGUCACCUCCAAGAGGGCAGGAGCGACAUCCACUCUGCUGCUUGCUACACAACUGAGCAACUGAGCACACACACACGUGGAAUUAGUGAAUUGCAUUUCCCAUUGAGAACCCAGAUGAUGCAACUAUAACAUCAGAUGAUGCUUUCUAUCUAGAAACCAGCGUCACUGAGAGUCUUCCAUUACAGUUCCUGGAAUCCAGGCUUCCCUGGUGGCUCAGUGGCGAAGAAUCCACCUGCCGACGCAGCAGACAUGGGGAACUUGUUGUUUUAUUUACCAUUAUAUCCCUGGCACCCAGGAGCGAGCCAAGCAUGCCGAAGAGGGCCCAGGAUACUUUUCAAAAUUAUUCAUUUUUAUUGAGAUGUAAUCAGCAUAUAACAUUGUACUUAUUUUAUUCGAUUCAAUGUUUGCAUAUAUUGGGAACUGAUUACCACAAGAAGUUUACUUAACAUCUGUCAGCACAUGUAGUUUCAAAUUUUCCCCCCUGCCAUGAAAACUUUUACCAUCUAUUGUAUAUAUGUAUAUAUUGUAUAUUAUAUA